AUUGAACGCUGGCGGCAGGCCUAACACAUGCAAGUCGAGCGGAUGAAGGGAGCUUGCUCCUGGAUUCAGCGGCGGACGGGUGAGUCAUGCCUAGGAAUCUGCCUGGUAGUGGGGGAUAACGUCCGGAAACGGGAGCUAAUACCGCAUACGUCCUGAGGGAGAAAGUGGGGGAUCUUCGGACCUCACGCUAUCUGAUGAGCCUAGGUCGGAUUAGCUAGUUGGUGGGGUAACGGCCUACCAAGGCGACGAUCCGUAACUGGUCUGAGAGGAUGAUCAGUCACACUGGAACUGAGACACGGUCCAGACUCCUACGGGAGGCAGCAGUGGGGAAUAUUGGACGAUGGGCGAAAGCCUGAUCCAGCCAUGCCGCGUGUGUGAUGAAGGUCUUCGGAUUGUAAAGCACUUUAAGUUGGGAGGAAGGGCAGUAAGUUAAUACCUUGCUGUUUUGACGUUACCGACAGAAUAAGCACCGGCUAACUUCGUG
rnacentral:rRNA from 1 species